GCCCGCCUAGCUCAAUCGGAUAGAGCGUCAGACUCUUAUCACUAGGCAAUCUGAAGGCUGCGAGUUCGACCCUCGCGGUGGGCU
rfam:Pisolithus microcarpus 441 unplaced genomic scaffold scaffold_172, whole genome shotgun sequence.